UGGGGAAUAUUGCUCAAUGGGCGCAAGCCUGAUGCAGCGACGCCGCGUGGGGGAUGACGGCCUUCGGGUUGUAAACUCCUUUCGCUAGGGACGAAGCUUUUUGUGACGGUACCUAGAUAAGAAGCACCGGCUAACUACGUGCCAGCAGCCGCGGUAAUACGUAGGGUGCGAGCGUUUUCCGGAAUUACUGGGCGUAAAGGGCUCGUAGGUGGUUUGUCGCGUCGUCUGUGAAAUUCCGGGGCUUAACUCCGGGCGUGCAGGCGAUACGGGAAUAACGUGAGUACUGGAGGGGUAACUGGAAUUCCUGGUGUAGCGGUGGAAUGCGCAGAUAUCAGGAGGAACACCGAUGGCGAAGGCAGGUUACUGGGCAGUUACUGACGCUGAGGAGCGAAAGCAUGGGUAGCGAACAGG
rnacentral:rRNA from 1 species